rnacentral:rRNA from 1 species
GAUGAACGCUGGCGGCGUGCCUAAUACAUGCAAGUCGAGCGAACAGACGAGGAGCUUGCUCCUCUGACGUUAGCGGCGGACGGGUGAGUAACACGUGGAUAACCUACCUAUAAGACUGGGAUAACUUCGGGAAACCGGAGCUAAUACCGGAUAAUAUAUUGAACCGCAUGGUUCAAUAGUGAAAGACGGUUUUGCUGUCACUUAUAGAUGGAUCCGCGCCGCAUUAGCUAGUUGGUAAGGUAACGGCUUACCAAGGCGACGAUGCGUAGCCGACCUGAGAGGGUGAGUGGCCACACUGGGACUGAGACACGGUCCAGACUCCUACGGGAGGCAGCAGUAGGGAAUCUUCCGCAAUGGGCGGAAGCCUGACGGAGCAACGCCGCGUGAGUGAUGAAGGUCUUCGGAUCGUAAAACUCUGUUAUUAGGGAAGAACAAAUGUGUAAGUAACUAUGCACGUCUUGACGGUACCUAAUCAGAAAGCCACGGCUAACUACGUG